rnacentral:rRNA from 1 species
UUUCCAGAGAUGGAUUGGUGCCUUCGGGAACGCUGAGACAGGUGCUGCAUGGCUGUCGUCAGCUCGUGUUGUGAAAUGUUGGGUUAAGUCCCGCAACGAGCGCAACCCUUAUCCUUUGUUGCCAGCGAUUCGGUCGGGAACUCAAAGGAGACUGCCGGUGAUAAACCGGAGGAAGGUGGGGAUGACGUCAAGUCAUCAUGGCCCUUACGAGUAGGGCUACACACGUGCUACAAUGGCGCAUACAAAGAGAAGCGACCUCGCGAGAGCAAGCGGACCUCAUAAAGUGCGUCGUAGUCCGGAUCGGAGUCUGCAACUCGACUCCGUGAAGUCGGAAUCGCUAGUAAUCGUGGAUCAGAAUGCCACGGUGAAUACGUUCCCGGGCCUUGUACACACCGCCCGUCACACCAUGGGAGUGGGUUGCAAAAGAAGUAGGUAGCUUAACCUUCGGGAGGGCGCUUACCACUUUGUGAUUCAUGACUGGGGUGAAGUCGUAACAAGGUAAGCGUAGCGAG